GACGAACGCUGGCGGCGCGCUUAACACAUGCAAGUCGUGCGGUGUCGAAGGCAAGUCUUACGACAAGCCUUCGACACAGCGGCGAACGGGUGAGUAACACGUGAGUAGCUGUCCUAAGGGAGGGGGAUAACGCCUGGGAAACGGGUGCUAAUACCCCAUAUGCCUCGCAAGAGGUGAAAGUGUACUUGUUACAGCCUUAGGGUGUGCUCGCGGCCUAUCAGCUAGUUGGUGAGGUAACGGCUCACCAAGGCUAAGACGGGUAGCCGGCCUGAGAGGGUGUACGGCCACACUGGAAUUGAGAUACGGUCCAGACUCCUACGGGAGGCAGCAGUGGGGAAUCUUGGGCAAUGGGCGAAAGCCUGACCCAGCGACGCCGCGUUGGGGAUGAAGCCCUUCGGGGCGUAAACCCAUGUUGUAGGGGACGAAGAAAGUGACGGUACCCUACGAGAAAGCCCCGGCCAACUACGUG
rnacentral:rRNA from 1 species